rnacentral:rRNA from 1 species
UACGAAGGAUGCGAGCGUUAUCCGGAUUUAUUGGGUUUAAAGGGUGCGUAGGCGGCCUUAUAAGUCAGUGGUGAAAUCCUAUCGCUUAACGUUAGACGUGCCAUUGAUACUGUAGGGCUUGAGUACAGAUGCCGUUGGCGGAAUGUGUCAUGUAGCGGUGAAAUGCAUAGAUAUGACACAGAACACCGAUUGCGAAGGCAGCUGACGAAACUGUAACUGACGCUGAGGCACGAAAGCGUGGGGAGCAAACAGG